GAUGAACGCUGGCGGCGUGCCUAAUACAUGCAAGUCGAGCGAACAGAUGAGGAGCUUGCUCCUCUGACGUUAGCGGCGGACGGGUGAGUAACACGUGGAUAACCUACCUAUAAGACUGGGAUAACUUCGGGAAACCGGAGCUAAUACCGGAUAAUAUAUUGAACCGCAUGGUUCAAUAGUGAAAGACGGUUUUGCUGUCACUUAUAGAUGGAUCCGCGCUGCAUUAGCUAGUUGGUAAGGUAACGGCUUACCAAGGCAACGAUGCGUAGCCGACCUGAGAGGGUGAUCGGCCACACUGGAACGGAGACACGGUCAAGACUACUACGGGAGGCAGCAGUAGGGAAUCUUACGCAAUGGGCGAAAGCCUGACGGAGCAACGCCGCGUGAGUGAUGAAGGUCUUCGGAUCGUAAAACUCUGUUAUUAGGGAAGAACAAAUGUGUAAGUAACUAUGCACGUAUUGACGGUACCUAAUCAGAAAGCCACGGCUAACUACGUG
rnacentral:rRNA from 1 species